CCUACGGGCGGCUGCAGUGGGGAAUAUUGGUCAAUGGACGAAACUCUGACCCAGCAACGCCGCGUGAAUGAUGAAGGUCUUCGGAUUGUAAAGUUCUUUUUUAAGGGAAGAAGAAAGUGACGGUACCUUAGGAAUAAGCCUCGGCUAACUACGUGCCAGCAGCCGCGGUAAUACGUAGGAGGCAAGCGUUAUCCGGAAUGACUGGGCGUAAAGGGUGCGUAGGUGGUUUGACAAGUUGGUAGCGUAACUCCGAGGCUUAACCUCGGCACUACUGACAAAACUGUUGGACUAGAGUGCAGGAGGGGCAAAUGGAAUUCGUAGUGUAGCGGGGGAAUGCGUAGAUAUUAGGAGGAACACCAGUGGCGAAGGCGAUUUGCUGGACUGUAACUGACACUGAGGCACGAAAGCGUGGGGAGCAAACAGGAUUAGAUACCCUAGUAGUC
rnacentral:rRNA from 1 species